UCUGUUCCCACAGGGGAGGCAGGGAGAGAGAGGACGGUUAAUGCUUCUCGCCGUUCUCGCUGCGCGCGGGGACUCCAGGGGGGGCUGGGCUCCGAAGGGGCACCCCACGCCGCCGGGGUCCUUCACCCUCCCCUCUGACCUCUGGUCGUGGCUCAGGAAGGUGGGCUUUGCUCGUGUCCUGAGGACCAAGGCGUCCCGCACUCCUGCCGUGGCCCCGACACAGGAGAAACACCCAGUCCUGCUCCCCAUCAGCCCCCUUCCCUCGCCUCCCCACCCCGACCAGUCCAGCUCAGAGCACGCGCAGGGAUUGCAGGGCCCACCCGGCCGCAGCCCUGCCCGGUCGCUGCUCGGAACUCCGGCAAGUUCUGCAAGAAGUCAGGCCCGGGGAGACGGUUUUGUCCUGACACAGCCGGGCUCCUGGGAGCACAGACCCACUCAGCUGUGGAACGAUUUCGUGAGGUCUGGUUGCAGGAGUCGGAAUGACCUCCUACACAGCCCGAGAGCCCACACCGGUGACACCCUCCUGAAGGCCUUCUAGACUGCAUUCUGCACCCUGCAUGCCAGGUGUGAACUGGCAUACGGGCAUGUCUCACACACGUAUGAGCUCGCACACGGGUGUACCCCCCCAUACAUGUAAACACACACAGGCGUACCACACAUGUAUAAACACACAUGGGAAAACCACACACAUGUGUACCACACACACACACACACACACACCUGUAUAUAAACUCACACAUGGCAUAUCACACAGAAACUUCUACAUCUCUAGUCCUCUGAGGGCCUGGGAACAGACACAGCACAGCACCAACAAGCGCCCUGGGUCCCUGGACACGGAUCUAGAAAUACCUUUCGCCACAAAAAGCAACCAGGGAAACCUGGGGAGGCAACCGAUUCUAGAGCUGGGCUGGAAAAAUACAGGACAAAUCCAGAAAAUGUUCACGUGCUGGGGAGCAGAAGUGUAACAGGAGCCGUGGGGACGGGGGUCCCGUGGGCCAGACCUCGGCGGAACAGACUGUUGGUGGUAAAGCAGGAAAACACGGGUCUGUUCAGAUACAGACGUAGAGGUGAACUGAAAGCCUGAUGAGCGAUGAGACUCUUUGGUGGUUUUGAAGAAUCUCAUCACAAAACACGCAUUAGUUACAGACAGAGAGUCCCCUCGCAGUGGGGCCCAGCAAGCACCCUGGAGGUGAACGUCACCAGUACGCGCACAGUGGGACAUCGCUCAGCCGAGGGGCGGAAGGAGCUCCCGCCGUAUGCAGGGACACAGAUAAACAAAAGCUGAGAAUUCUAUGCCAGGAGACCCACCCUACAGGGAACAUUACAGAAUGUUCUUAAGACUAAAGGAAGCGACACAAGAUGAAAACUCAGGAGAUUUUGCAAAGUGUUCUAAAUUCAGAAUAACUUAAACCACGCAGAACUGAUUGACAAAAGAAAAACAGAAAUGGAACAGAACUUUGGAAUUUCUGCAUACGAUAUAAUCAAUCAGUAUAAAAAUGGGUUUAAAAGCUCAUUGAUAUUAAACAAACUUAAAGGGAUUUUAUCUGGAGCUUCCAUUUGUAGAAAGAAACACGCUGCUCACACCCCCAGCUCUGACGCAGGCACGUUGAAUAGAAAUGGAAUGGUGUCCCCUGCUUUGCAAAAGUCUGUGUCAAAGACCGAUGUUAGUACCGGUUUCGCUAACCAAAAGAAACCAACAAGGAUUUUCGCUUUACUGGAAAGGGUGAAAAGGGCGCUCAGCGUUGGUUUUGCAGCAAGGAGGCCCGCUGGGCUCCCUCCCCAGGACGGCCCUCUGCGUCCCCGCGCCCCGCCGCCAGAGCGCUGUGUCUGCGAGUGUCUGGGCUUCACAUCCAUGGGUUAUGGGCGCUCGUUAGCAAGAUGGGUCACGAGGGCCUAGGAGAGGUGAUU